CGGCAACAGCUCAAAUUUGAAAUCUGGCUCUUUCAGAGUCCGAGUUGUAAUUUGCAGAGGGUGCUUUGGUGGUAGUUGCGGUCUAAGUUCUUUGGAACAGGACGUCACAGAGGGUGAGAGCCCCGU
rnacentral:rRNA from 1 species